GACUGUGCUGGCUCCUUUGCUGGAGCAUGUGCACGUCUUCGCUCUCUCACACCCACACACUUGUGCACCCACUGUAGGUCCUCGCGAGGGGAUCUACGUCUUCUGUACACCCAGACGUAUGGCCAGAAAUGUCUUGACAACAAUACAACUUUCAGCGAUGGAUCUCUUGGCUCUCGCAUCGAUGAAGGACGCAGCGAAUCGCGAUAAGUAAUGUGAAUUGCAGAUUUCCAGUGAAUCAUUGAAUCUUUGAACGCACCUUGCGCUCCUCGGUACUCCGAGGAGCAUGCCUGUCUGAGUGUCCCAUGACAUCCUCAAGCCCACGCCACGGCGUGGCUUGGACGUGGGGGCUGCCGGCGUCGAGAGACGUCGACUCCCCUGAAAUGCAUUAGCGGAGACCGGCGGGUCUGGACAAGCACCGUGGCCGUCUCGACGUGAUAACGCUCCGUCGUUGGUCAGCAUGUCUGGGCUCGCGCGCUCGCGGUCGCCUCGCUUCUAACCCCAGCGAAGAGGUCAGCUCAGCUAGUAGUCGGUCGUGAGGCCGGCGAACGCAAGAGCCUGGGCUCGGACCACCCCCGUGAAGAGGUCAGCUCUGCUAGUACUCGGUCGCAAGGCCGGCGAACGCAGGGCUGGGCUCGGAGCGACCUUUGAGAACGGACCUCAGAUCAGGUAGGACUACCCGCUGACUUAAGCAUA
rnacentral:rRNA from 1 species